CCUACGGGAGGCAGCAGUGGGGAAUCUUCCGCAAUGGGCGCAAGCCUGACGGAGCAACGCCGCGUGAGUGAAGAAGGGUUUCGACUCGUAAAGCUCUGUUGUCGGGGACGAAUGUGGAGAUGGUGAAUAACCAUUUUCAAUGACGGUACCUGACGAGGAAGCCCACGGCUAACUACGUGCC
rnacentral:rRNA from 1 species